rnacentral:rRNA from 1 species
AUACGGAGGAUCCAAGCGUUAUCCGGAUUUAUUGGGUUUAAAGGGAGCGUAGGUGGACAGUUAAGUCAGUUGUGAAAGUUUGCGGCUCAACCGUAAAAUUGCAGUUGAUACUGGCUGUCUUGAGUACAGUAGAGGUGGGCGGAAUUCGUGGUGUAGCGGUGAAAUGCUUAGAUAUCACGAAGAACUCCGAUUGCGAAGGCAGCUCACUGGACUGCAACUGACACUGAUGCUCGAAAGUGUGGGUAUCAAACAGGAUUAGAUACCCUGGUAGUCCACACAGUAAACGAUGAAUACUCGCUGUUUGCGAUACACUGUAAGCGGCCAAGCGAAAGCGUUAAGUAUUCCACCUGGGGAGUACGCCGGCAACGGUGAAACUUAAAGGAAUUGACGGGG